rnacentral:rRNA from 1 species
UACGAAGGGUACUAGCGUUGUUCGGAAUCACUGGGCGUAAAGCGCGCGCAGGCGGCUACUCAAGUCAGGGGUGAAAUCCUUGGGCUUAACCCAAGAAUUGCCUUUGAAACUGUGUAGCUGGAGUGUCGGAGGGGAUAGCGGAAUUCCUAAUGUAGCGGUGAAAUGCGUAGAUAUUAGGAGGAACACCGGUGGCGAAGGCGGCUAUCUGGACGACAACUGACGCUGAGGCGCGAAAGCGUGGGGAUCAAACAGG